GUGGGGAAUUUUGGACAAUGGGCGCAAGCCUGAUCCAGCAAUGCCGCGUGUGUGAAGAAGGCCUUCGGGUUGUAAAGCACUUUUGUCCGGAAAGAAAUCUCCUGGGUUAAUACCUCGGGGGGAUGACGGUACCGGAAGAAUAAGCACCGGCUAACUACGUGCCAGCAGCCGCGGUAAUACGUAGGGUGCGAGCGUUAAUCGGAAUUACUGGGCGUAAAGCGUGCGCAGGCGGCUCUGCAAGACAGAUGUGAAAGCCCCGGGCUCAACCUGGGAACUGCAUUUGUGACUGCAAGGAUAGAGUGCGUCAGAAGGAGGAGGAAUUCCGCGUGUAGCAGUGAAAUGCGUAGAGAUGCGGAGGAACACCGAUGGCGAAGGCAGCCUGCUGGGAUGACACUAACGCUCAUGCACGAAAGCGUGGGGAGCAAACAGGAUUAGAAACCCGUGUAGUCC
rnacentral:rRNA from 1 species